rnacentral:rRNA from 1 species
UGAUGACCAUAGCGAGUUGGUACCACCCCUUCCCAUCCCGAACAGGACCGUGAAACGACUCCACGCCGAUGAUAGUGCGGACCUCCCGUGUGAAAGUAGGUAAUCGUCAGGCU